GCAGGGGUGUUGGAAUUGGCAGACAAGCAGGCCUCAGACACCUGUGUUUUUAACAUGCGGGUUCAAGUCCCGUCCCCUGCACCA
rnacentral:tRNA from 2 species